rnacentral:rRNA from 1 species
UACAGAGGUCUCAAGCGUUGUUCGGAUUCAUUGGGCGUAAAGGGUGCGUAGGCGGGUCUUUAAGUCAGGGGUGAAAUCCUGGAGCUCAACUCCAGAACUGCCUUUGAUACUGAGGAUCUUGAGUUCGGGAGAGGUGAGUGGAACUGCGAGUGUAGAGGUGAAAUUCGUAGAUAUUCGGAAGAACACCAGUGGCGAAGGCGGCUCACUGGUCCGGUACUGACGCUGAUGUGCGAAAGCGUGGGGAGCAAACAGG